rnacentral:rRNA from 2 species
AUGCAAGUCGAGCGAACAGAUAAGGAGCUUGCUCCUUUGACGUUAGCGGCGGACGGGUGAGUAACACGUGGGUAACCUACCUAUAAGACUGGAAUAACUCCGGGAAACCGGGGCUAAUGCCGGAUAACAUUUAGAACCGCAUGGUUCUAAAGUGAAAGAUGGUUUUGCUAUCACUUAUAGAUGGACCCGCGCCGUAUUAGCUAGUUGGUAAGGUAACGGCUUACCAAGGCAACGAUACGUAGCCGACCUGAGAGGGUGAUCGGCCACACUGGAACUGAGACACGGUCCAGACUCCUACGGGAGGCAGCAGUAGGGAAUCUUCCGCAAUGGGCGAAAGCCUGACGGAGCAACGCCGCGUGAGUGAUGAAGGUCUUCGGAUCGUAAAACUCUGUUAUUAGGGAAGAACAAAUGUGUAAGUAACUGUGCACGUCUUGACGGUACCUAAUCAGAA